AUUGACAUGAUAAAAUGAAUAUUAGUGGAACUCAUAUUUAUCAAUGGUUCUUUGUUACAGCGAUUCUGUGAACACCUGGGGGGAUAUUUAACUCAUGUAAAUGAUGCAACUGAAAAUGCAUUCCUGAAAAGUUAUCUAUCGGAUCUUAAAGAUUCCAUUCACUGGAUCGGCCUGACAGAUGAAGUUACAGAAGGAAUUUGGAGAUGGUACGACAACAACCAGGUAGCUAAUUUUACUAAUUGGCAUAUACUCACUUCUGAACCGAAUGGUGGCAAGGCACAAAACUGUGUAUACAUUGACGAGGGUUAUGGAUAUGAAUGGAUUGACGCCCCAUGUGACUGGAAACGGACACCACUUUGUGAAAUGAGACCUGGAGAAGAAGCAAUCAUUGGCUAGGACAGUGCCAGUUAUUAUGUCCAUUUAUAAAGAUUGAUAAUAAAACUAGUAAAGUA